rnacentral:tRNA from 1 species
UCGGCGCUGGACGGGGAGAUCCGCCGGCCUCUGGCCAGCGCUGAUCCGCGGCUCGGCUCCGGCGGCGCCGAGCC